rnacentral:lncRNA from 1 species
UCUUUGGUUGUGCUGGGUUAGGUCAGACUAAUCCAGUUAGGCUGAGUUGUGCAAGUAAUUUAAGGUCGAGGAAAUGUUUCAGACAUUUUUAUAGGUCAGUAAUUGUAUUGAAUAAGAUCUCAUCUAGGCAAUUACACAAUUUUGUUACUUAGUAGGACUAAAAUUUAAUUAAAUGAAGCAUAUAAGUAUUUAGUUGGAAGAUGAAAAUUAAUUUAGUUAUAUUUUGUGUUGGGUUGGGUAAGUGGGUUAAUACUCAACCCUAGCUCCAAUCCAAUUUGGGGUCGGGUUGGGAUUUAUGAGCCCAAACCACACCCAAGUUCAUAAAACCUCGGCCUUACUCCCCUAACAAGCAAGUUGGGCUGAUCAGAUCUGGGUGAGACCAAGUUGCAAAUCUACUUGUAAUUUUUGAAUUUUGCCUAUAAAUAUUGCAAAUCAUGAUGAAUAAUGUGGACUUUGGAUUUGUAGGGCUCACUGUAUAUCGAAAAACAAAAACAUAUGCUAGGAUGAUCAACUGUUGAGUCUGAGAUUUUAUGCAAUUGGUGGGAGAGGUAAGAUUGGACAAAUGACACUUGGUUUUGGUUGAUGAUGAAAACAAAAUGCCAGAGAACCACGAGACAUUUAUAUGAUGGCCAAUGAAGAGGAGCAUCUCAACAUUAAAUGUGAAUUCUUUUAAAAACGUUUUGUGUGGAAAUGUUGACAAGUACGGAGAAAUGGAAUAGAGAACUUUUAGGUGUAACUGGCUUGGACCGCGACCAAUUUAUAAUAUUGUGUAGCAUCAGUAUAGCUGCGUACUGUC